GCCACGGUGGUCUAGCGGUUAGAACGCUGGCCUUGUAAUCCUGGGGUCUCGGGUUUGAUUCCCGGCGGUGCCC
rfam:Zootermopsis nevadensis contig30263, whole genome shotgun sequence.